rnacentral:rRNA from 1 species
CCUACGGGAGGCAGCAGUGAGGAAUAUUGGUCAAUGGUCGGGAGACUGAACCAGCCAAGCCGCGUGAGGGAGGAAGGUACAGAGUAUAGUAAACCUCUUUUGUCAGGGAACAAAGACUGGGACGCGUCCCCGGAUGAGUGUACCUGAAGAAAAAGCAUCGGCUAACUCCGUGCCAGCACCCGCGGUAAGAGGGAGGAUGAGCUCGUUACCCGGAUUUAUGGGGUUAAAAGGGGGCGCAGGCGGUCUUUUACGUCAGCGGUCAAAGCCCGGGGCUCAACCCCGGCGCGCCGUUGAAACUGGCAGUCUCGAGUUGGAGAGAAGUAUGCGGAAUGCGCGGUGUAGCGGUGAAAUGCAUAGAUAUCGCGCAGAACUCCGAUUGCGAAGGCAGCAUGCCGGCUCCACACUGACGCUGAGGCACGAAAGCGUGGGUAUCGAACAGGAUUAGAUACCCUUGUAGUC